rnacentral:rRNA from 1 species
GACGAACGCUGGCGGCGUGCCUAAUACAUGCAAGUCGAGCGAAGUUUUUCUGGUGCCUGCACCGGAAAAACUUAGCGGCGAACGGGUGAGUAACACGUAAAGAACCUGCCUCAUAGACUGGGACAACUAUUGGAAACGAUAGCUAAUACCGGAUAACAGCAUUAACUGCAUGGUUGAUGUUUAAAAGUUGGUUUUGCUAACACUAUGAGAUGGCUUUGCGGUGCAUUAGCUAGUUGGUGGGGUAAAGGCCUACCAAGGCGACGAUGCAUAGCCGACCUGAGAGGGUGAUCGGCCACGCUGGGACUGAGACACGGCCCAGACUCCUACGGGAGGCAGCAGUAGGGAAUCUUCCGCAAUGGGCGAAAGCCUGACGGAGCAACGCCGCGUGAGUGAAGAAGGAUUUCGGUUCGUAAAGCUCUGUUGUUAGGGAAGAAUGAUUGUGUAGUAACUAUACACAGUAGAGACGGUACCUAACCAGAAAGCCACGGCUAACUACGUG